UUUUUUUUUUUUUUUUUUUUUUAAAUUGGGAAUGAAUGGAUUCAAUCAAUGGUGAUUAAAAAAACAUUGAUUUGAAAGCAUUUGGAGGGGAAAACUGCGAGAUUUCUCCAAUGGCAUCAGCUAGUUCUCGUAGGCAAGUGGUCGCUGAAGCUGGACGCCGUAAGCUUGAGCAGUUUCGGAAACAAAAAGCAGCUAAAAAGGCAUCACAAAGUACUAUUACCACACAGCAGCCUGUUGAUAAUAGCCAGCAAAGUGUUUCAGAUUCAGAUGGACCUCUUCCUCUUGCAUCUCUGCCUAAUGGACCUCUCAAUCAAGUUUCCUCUAUUGAAACCCAUGUACAUAAUUUAUCAUUUUCGAAUAUAGCAACACCGAAUGAUGGAAGUAAAAAAGAUGAUGGUCAGGAGGAAUCAGUGGGAAAACUUGAUUUUUCUAAUAGCUUAGAGUUGAUUGGUUCCACACAGGACUUAACAGUGAAUAAUAGGCCUGACGUUGUACCUUAUAGCAAUAUAGACAUGCAAUCGAGUGGAAGUUUUGAUCGUGCUUCUACUCUAAGAGAAAGUGAUGGUGUUGUUAAAGGCACAUCUCCCUUUUCUGGAAGCUCUCUGCUAUCAACCUCGAUGCAAAUGGAUGGUUUCAUUCAUGGCGGUGGAUUAAUCUCACCAAGAAAAGACUCAUUACAACCUACUACCAGGAUGGCAGGGUCUUUUCACGAAGUUUCCAAAAACCAACAGAGAAGUGGUGAACUAGGAGGAGGUAGCAUUGUGCAGAAGCCUACUUUGUCUAGCAGUUAUUUGUUUAGUUCUCCAGACACAUCAUCUCGACCUUCUGAAUCUUCAGAUUACAGUGUAAAUAUCACAAGCUCUUCACCAUUUAACUCAGCUAAAAGUGAAGCAACUGUGAAGAGAUCUCGUCCGUCUUUCCUUGAUUCCCUCAAUAUUUCAAGAGCUCGAGAGACUCAAACUCAAUAUCAACACCCUGAGAUUGAAGCAGAUUUGGUUACAUCCAGUGCUUCCCAACUAACUGGCACUGAUGGUUUUGGGCCAUCUUCGCUCCAAUAUAUGUCAGGGAAAAGAGACAGUAAUGGACCAUCUUUGACAAGCGGAGCAUAUGAUUCUCCUAAUCCAUUUGAAAAAUUCCGGAGUUCUUUGUAUCCUGCUGCCAAUGGAGUAAUGCCAGGUUUUACUGAUUUCUCCAUGCCAAAACAAAAUGAUGAUUUUACUGCUCUGGAACAGCAUAUUGAGGAUUUAACACAAGAAAAAUUUUCACUGCAAAGGGAUCUUGAUGCUUCACGUGCGCUGGCAGAAUCCUUAGCAUCAGAAAAUUCUUCGAUGACAGACACUUAUAACCAGCAGAGAGGUCUUGUCAACCAACUAAAAGAUGACAUGGAGAGGCUAUAUGAACAGAUCCAAGCCCAAAUGGGGGAACUUGAGUCUGUCAGGAUUGAGUAUGCAAAUGCACAGCUAGAAUGUAAUGCUGCUGAUGAGCGUUCCCAAAUACUGGCUUCUGAAGUCAUCAGUUUGGAAGAUAAGGCUCUCAGACUCAGAUCUAAUGAGUUAAAGCUGGAAAGGGAACUGGAGAAUGCACAAGCAGAAAUGUUAUCUUACAAGAAAAAAUUACAGAGCCUAGAGAAAGAUCGUCAAGAUUUACAAUCUACUAUUAAAGCUCUUCAAGAAGAGAAGAAGGUCCUACAGACUAUGGUACAGAAAGCUUCUAGUGGUGGAAAAUCCACUGAUCUGAGUAAAAGCUCAACUAGCCGAAAAAACGCGUCAACCUCUACAGAAGGUCUAGCAAUCUCAGAUACUACGCCAGAGAGUUUCAACCAGGAAACAGAUUCCACUUCUCUGCUUGAAAGUAAUUCAUCUAAUACAGCUAUCGUUCCUGAAACUGGACAAUUAACUCUUGAAGGUUUUUCAUUGAGCGUCCCAGCUGAUCAGAUGAGAGUGAUUCAUAACAUUAAUACGCUGGUUGCUGAGUUGGCAAUUGAGAAGGAAGAACUCGUGCAAGCACUGUCAUCUGAGUUAUCUCGAAGUGCGCAGGUGCAGGAGCUGAACAAAGAGUUAUCCAGAAAACUUGAAGCACAGACCAAAAGGUUAGAGCUUCUAACAGCACAGAAGAUGGCCAUAGACAAUGUUUCACCUGAAAAGCAGCAGCCGGAUUCUCAUGUUGUUCAAGAGAGAACACCGAUUGCAGAUGAAGGCGAUGAGGUGGUCGAAAGGGUUUUAGGAUGGAUUAUGAAGAUGUUCCCAGGAGGACCGUCGAAAAGAAGGACAAGCAAGCUUCUCUAAUGCGUGGCUCGCUCAGUCGUGACCCUUGUUGCCAUUCUGUAUAUCCCGGGCACAGCCAUGGAUUGCUUCUUCUCCUUUAGUUUUGGAAGAAGUUCAUUUUGGUUCUUUUGAUCCUAAAUUUUGGAUUUCAUUGGAUUGAGCAAAAGUGGUAUAGUGAGAGACACCUUGAAGAGUUCCAAAUGGAUAGAGACACGGAAGCUCAAACAGAGCGAGAGAGAUGUUAUAUGCAAAUGAAUAUUCCAGAAGUGACAUUUGAAGUAUUGCUGCGACUUCCAUUGAAAAGCAUCGCAAGAUGCAGAUCAGUGCGGAAAGAAUGGAAACGUCUGAUCGAUUCGGACUUCUUCCGAGAUCAAUUCAUCUCACGCAACUCUUCCUCAGUCUCAUGGCCAAUCAUCCAAACUGACACUUGAAAUCGUUGGUCAUCAUGCAUGCAAAACAUGGGAACUUGCUUCUUCUCCUGGAUCAUUAGUGAGUUUUUUUGCCAAAGCCACAAUCAGGAAACUACUAGUCUUGCUUGGUCUUGCUUUACGUACAAGCUAGCGAUGGAACUCCUAUUUAUGUAUUACGUUGGUAAUCCUUUAUUUCAAGAAUGGUUUCGAAUACCUCUUUGUGAACAUAACUACACUCCGCAAUAUGUUGAGGGAUUACGGAACAACGUGCGUUUCAGCUACAGUGUAUUGGUUACAAAGAUGCAAGGUGGUACUGUCGUGAGCUACAAGGUUGUGUGGUUGAUCGCUCAGGAUGAUGCUAAAGUCGAUUUUGCGAUUUACUCAUCUGAUACAUACAGGGAUGUGGGAAGUUAAAAAUGGGGUGACUUGUCUUCAUUCUGCCUUCUGGUUUGGUCCAUUGCAUUGAAUGGGAUUCUUCAUUGGCUUUCCAACCUCACCGGUUCUUUCGUAGCUUACAAAUUCUGUGAAUGUCAUGAAGAUGCGUGUCACAUCAUAUAUUUCCCUGACAGUGGAAAAUAUUAUGAGUUACCGCGUUUUCGGAGAACCAUCACGACCUCGGAAGGGUCUAUGCAUAGUAAUGGAAUCCGCACAUUACGGAGUUGGAGGCUGGUCAACUACACUGAAAUUGGUCCUAAGGCGUGACAGCUCUUUUGGGAAGUCAAGUUGGUGUCUUUGACCGAGCUAGGUAUCGGUUAUUUCCUGGUGGUGAUGCAUCCUUUAAACUGUGAGAUCAUAUACUUGUGGAGCAGAAACAAGAAAGGUAUGGUGUUGCUUAACUUGAGGAUUAAAGUGUUUAGUCUUCACAAGGAAACUGAAGACGCUCAUAAGUGUAUGGAUGGUUGCGUCUUGAGUUUUAACAGUUGCAGCGAGUAUAUGGAGAACGUUUCUAAUUACUUUCUCCCAUCGU